rnacentral:rRNA from 1 species
AUGAAAGAAGGAAUUUCAAGAUUACGUGAAACCGUUCAGGGGUAAACCUGAGAAACCCAAAAGAUCGAAUGAGGAGAUUCAUCGUCAGCUGCGUUGGCUUGCGUGUGACUCGCGAUGUUCGUCGCUUCGGUGACGGGCACGCGGUCGCUGCGUCAUGUCCGGCGUAGUCGGCGUGCACUUCUCCUCUAGUAGGACGUCGCGACCCGUUGGGUGUCGGUCUACGGUUCGCAAGGGUGCCUGUCGCGUCGCGUUCGCGCGCGUGCGCGGCAGACCUGCGUCAUGCCCGGCCGACUGCCCGGCGGUAGAGAUCGCUAUUCGAACGGUAUUGAGCCGCACUAAGUGCGUUCAGGCUCGUCGGCAGGUAAGCCUCGCUCGGAUUUUACGGACCUAGUGCCGUUGUCGGGCGCUUGGCCGGCCGUUAGUCGACGAUGUCCUCGGACGGGCUCUUUGCAUUCCGCGUCAGCGGGAUGUACCGGUCAGCGACGCUACUGCUUUGGGUACUUUCAGGACCCGUCUUGAAACACGGACCAAGGAGUCUAAG